rnacentral:lncRNA from 1 species
UCAUUGGCUAAGCCUGCAGCACUCAGGGUGACCCGGCUGGAAGGCAGAGUAGUCGAGAAUCAUUCUUUUGGAGACAAGACUGAAAAGGCUUCCCUGGCUGGUCUGAGCAGGACGUUCUAAGGGUCGCUGCUCCUUGGUGGUGUGAGAAGCACAUUCUCUUUGGAACUGCAGUAACUAAGCACCUAGCUGCAACUAGGGCUAUGGCUUCUAAAGACUUAACUAAAUAGAAGAUGGCCAUUAAUGUCCUUCCUGAUGUUUUUAUACAAUAUCCUUUACUUUUCAAGGACAGAAAAGGCUUGAACUUUGGAUCAUGUAGUAACCAAAG